CUACGUAGGGGGCGAGCGUUGUCCGGAAUGACUGGGCGUAAAGGGCGUGUAGGCGGCGGUGUAAGUCUGGAGUGAAAGUCCCGCAUUCAAUGUGGGAAUUGCUUUGGAUACUGCAGUGCUAGAGUGCGGAAGAGGUAAGUGGAAUUCCCAGUGUAGCGGUGAAAUGCGUAGAGAUUUGGAGGAACACCAGUGGCGAAGGCGACUUACUGGGCCGUAACUGACGCUGAGGCGCGAAAGCGUGGGGAGCGAACAGGAUUAGAUACCCUGGUAGUCCACGCGGUAAACGAUGAAUGCUAGGUGUUGCGGGUAUCGACCCCUGCAGUGCCGGAGUAAACACAAUAAGCAUUCCGCCUGGGGAGUACGGCCGCAAGGUUGAAACUCAAAUGAAUUGACGGGG
rnacentral:rRNA from 1 species